GGCGAAAUAGCUCAGGUGGUUAGAGCGAUGGUCUCAUAAUCCAUAGGUCGAAGGUUCAAGUCCUUCUUUCGCCA
rnacentral:tRNA from 1 species